AGUGAACGCUGGCGGCAGGCCUAACACAUGCAAGUCGAGCGGCAGCGGGUCCCCGCGAGGGGAUGCCGGCGAGCGGCGGACGGGUGAGGAACACAUCGGAAUCUGCCUGGUUGUGGGGGAUAACGUAGGGAAACUUACGCUAAUACCGCAUGCGACCCUGAGUCGACGGACUGGGGGUGAAAGUGAGGGACCUUCGGGCCUCACGCGACCAGAUGAGCCGAUGUCGGAUAGCUAGUUGGCGGGGUAACGGCCCGCCAAGGCGACGAUCCGUAGCUGGUCUGAGAGGAUGAUCAGCCACACUGGGACUGAGACACGGCCCAGACUCCUACGGGAGCAGCAGUGGGAAUCUUGGACAAUGGGCGCAAGCCUGAUCCAGCCAUGCCG
rnacentral:rRNA from 1 species